rnacentral:rRNA from 1 species
UACGUAGGGUCCGAGCGUUGUCCGGAAUUAUUGGGCGUAAAGGGCUCGUAGGCGGUCUGUUGCGUCGGGAGUGAAAACUUACAGCUUAACUGUGAGCGUGCUUUCGAUACGGGCAGACUUGAGGCAUUCAGGGGAGAACGGAAUUCCGUGGUGUAGCGGUGAAAUGCGCAGAUAUCAGGAGGAACGACCGGUGGCGAAGGCGGGUCUCUGGGCCGAUACUGACGCUGGAGGAGCGAAAGCGUGGGGAGCGAACAGG